rnacentral:rRNA from 1 species
AGAGUUUGAUCAUGGCUCAGGAUGAACGCUGGCGGUAUGCUUAACACAUGCAAGUCGUACGGGUUAGAUUUAUCUAAUCUAGUGGCGGACGGGUGCGUAACACGUAAGAACCUACCUUUUGGAGGGGGAUAACAUUGGGAAACCGAUGCUAAUACCCCGUAAUAGCUGAGGAGUGAAAAGCGGGCUCGUAAGGGCUACGCGCCAGAAGAGGGGCUUGCGGCUGAUUAGCUAGUUGGUGGGGGUAACGGCCUCCCAAGGCCACGAUCAGUAGCUGGUCUGAGAGGAUGAUCAGCCACACUGGGACUGAGACACGGCCCAGACUCCUACGGGAGGCAGCAGUGAGGAAUUUUCCACAAUGGGCGAAAGCCUGAUGGAGCAAUACCGCGUGGAGGAAGACACCCUGUGGGGCGUAAACUCCUUUUCUCAGGGAAGAAGUAAGUGACGGUACCUGAGGAAUAAGCUCCGGCUAACUAUGUGCCAGCAGCCGCGGUAAUACAUAGGGAGCAAGCGUUAUCCGGAAUGAUUGGGCGUAAAGCGUCUGUAGGUGGUUCAAAAAGUCUAUUGUCAAAUACGUUGGCUUAACCAACGGCAGGCAUUAGAGUGCUGUUGGACUAGAGUUCGGUAGAGGUAGAGGGAAUCCCUAGCGUAACAGUGAAAUGUGUAGAUUUUAGGGAGAACACCAGCGGCGAAGGCGCUCUACUGGGCCGUAACUGACACUGAGAGACGAAAGCUAGAGGAGCGAAAAGGAUUAGAUACCCUCGUAGUCC